CGACGGAUCCUGCAGCUGCUCGGCUGUCCUGGUCAAGUCAGUGACCCUAGGGCUCCGCUCCGUGCCCUGCACACCGUAGCCGCUCACGAAACGUUCGUGAGUUCCCCGCUUUGAGGAGAGAAGCUUAAAAACUCAGAAUAACCACGCUGCACAAAGUGAACUUACCUGUUUUCAUCGCACUUUAUAUGCAUGAAUUCUGCCUCCACUCUCGACCUGGGACUCACUCAUGAGUAAGGAAGGACUGAAAGGCAAAAGGACUAUGGACUGGCCUUUUGGCAUAAUCAGGUGUUUAAUAUAAAGAAGUGCACGAAUAAGAAAAGAUAUGAUAUGUGUGAUGGUUAAUACUGAGCGUCAACUUGAUUGGAUUGAAGGAUGCAAAGUAUUGAUCCUGGGUGUGUCCAUGAGGGUGUUGCCAAAGGAGAUCGACAUUUGAGUCAGUGGGCUGGGAAAGGCAGAUCCACUGUUAAUCUAGAUGGUCACCAUCUAAUCAGAUACCAGCACAGCUAGAAAUAUAAAGCAGGCAGAAAAAUGGGAAAAGAGUGACUGGCCUACCCUCCCAACCUCCCAGCCUACAUCUUUCUCCUGUGCUGGGUGCUUCCUGCCCUGGAACAUUGGCACUCCAAGUUCUUCAGUUUGGGACUCGGACUGGCUCUCCUUGCUCCUCAGCUUGAAGACAGCCUAUUGUGGGACUUGUGAUCAUGCUGAUUCAAGGGAGCCCUGCCUGGCAUCCUUCCUGCUCCGCCAGCCAUCACGAGGCCAUGUUCCAUGAGCUCCAUUUCCACGACUGGCCCGUCUGGGUAUCACAGUUCCAACCAGAAUGCGUGUUUGGUCCCUGGGGCUUCUGGAUAACUUGGAGCUUUGUAAGAACUCCAGAAGGAUUUCUUCUGAAGAACCAAACCCCUGUUUCAUAGGCGACACACAGUUUGCUCCUUUCAACACGCACACGAAACACACAUUCAUGAAACAGCAAACGAGAGCAGCCUCGGCAUGAUCUGAGAGUCUGACGAUCCCUUCCUCACCAGAGGAGGGCUCAAAACCAUGUUUCACAUCCUCGGAUUCUGGGGCGCAGCCCUCAGGGACAGCUUGGGGUUGAGGCCAGAACACAGCAGGCAGGGCCCAGAGCUUCUCCCCUGACCCCACCUGGCACAGGGCUCAGAGCCGGCGGGGCUGGUCAAGGGUUGCUUUUCCGGUGUGGUUUGCUCGUUUUCUUUUGCUGUUCUUGUUCCUGCUCUCACCUGCACCAUCUGCUCUGUCCCUGCUCCUCAAGGCUUUCAAGAUCAAGAUGCUUAUUGUCGAGAACUGUCUUCCUUUCAAAAAUGGCUUUUACAGUUCUGGCCUCCAAAUGCAGGACUUUACCUACACUGCUACAUCAUUCAAC